CAAUAGGGGAGGCUCCCAAUCGCAUCAGACCCAUAACCCAGUUCGCGCUUCAAUUAAGCAGCAGGGUUUUAGUGUUUUCUAAGCCUUCCCUGUCCUCCUAUCCGUGGCAGCGCCAGGUCGGAUAUCAAUCUAACAGCCCUCGCAAUUACCAGAUUAUAUCUAUAUAGUCUCUACUUUAUCUCUAAUUCCUCUUUAUCAGUGUCAAGAUGACUGUAUCUGGACUAACUGGUAGUCCCUCAAGGUGUUGUCCCCGGGUACCAGUGAAUGGCUUAGGCUCAUUUUGCAGGCCAAGGUCUGCUUUUCCUAUUGCUGGAGAACCUAAAGAUAAACUAAACUUUCUCCGUCUAGAUAGAUGUUAUUGGUUUGGUUCUGUAAAAGGAUGCAAUGCAAAGCAAACUCUCCUGGUCAAGUGUGCAAUGGAUGCUUCCUAUGGUGGUGACAUGACAAAUGAUCAACCUGUUGUUUUUCCUAGAAUUCAUGUGAGGGACCCAUACAAACGGCUUGGGAUCAGCAGGGAGGCUUCUGAAGAUGAAAUUCAAGCUGCAAGGAACUUCCUUAUACAUAAAUAUGCUGGGCACAAACCCAGUGUGGAUGCAAUUGAAACUGCUCAUGACAAAAUAAUCAUGCAGAAGUUUUAUGAUAGGAAGAACCCAAAAAUUGACAUUCGGAAAAAGGUUAGGGAAGUAAAGCAAUCCCGAGUUGUGUUGGCUAUCGCAAGCAGGUUUCAAACUCCAUCGACACUUGUCAUCAUUAAAACAUCAAUUGCAUUUUUAGUACUUGGAGUUCUCACUGUCCUCUUUCCAACUGAAGAAGGUCCAACCCUACAGGUAGCCAUUUCCUUAAUGGCUACUAUAUAUUUUAUAUAUGAUCGGCUGAAGAGUAAAAUCAGAGCCUUUCUUUAUGGUGCCGGAGCUUUUAUUUUCUCAUGGCUGUUGGGAACGUUCUUGAUGGUAUCUGUGAUUCCACCACUGCCUUUCAUUAAAGGACUAAGGAGUUUUGAAGUUACUACUUCAUUGGUAACUUAUGUGCUACUUUGGGUUUCAUCUACCUAUCUGAAGUAGUGCCAAUUUUCUCCUAGUAUUAGAUCCCAUUGCAAGAACUCAGUUUUGUUGUGACUUAUGAAUGGUCAGUGGUUCAUCAAUCUUGCCUUGUUGCUUUAAGUUGCAUCGUCUUCUUAACUGUAGCAUCGUUGAGCAUGUUAAAAUUUUCGUGAAUGUUCCAUUAGGAAGAAAAGAUUCGUGGAAAUGACUGUUUU
rnacentral:misc_RNA from 1 species